rnacentral:rRNA from 1 species
UACGUAGGGGGCAAGCGUUGUCCGGAAUCAUUGGGCGUAAAGAGCGUGUAGGCGGCCAGAAAAGUCCGCUGUGAAAACUCGAGGCUCAACUUCGAGCUGUCGGUGGAAACUUUCUGGCUAGAGUCCGGAAGAGGAGAAUGGAAUUCCUGGUGUAGCGGUGAAAUGCGUAGAUAUCGGGAGGAACACCAAUGGCGAAGGCAGCUCGCUGGGACGUGACUGACGCUGAGACGCGAAAGCGUGGGGAGCAAACAGG